AGAGUUUGAUCCUGGCUCAGAUUGAACGCUGGCGGCAUGCCUUACACAUGCAAGUCGAACGGCAGCACGAGAGCUUGCUCUUGGUGGCGAGCGGCGAACGGGUGAGUAAUAUAUCGGAACGUACCCUAGAGUGGGGGAUAACGUAGCGAAAGUUACGCUAAUACCGCAUACGAUCUACGGAUGAAAGUGGGGGAUCGCAAGACCUCAUGCUCAUGGAGCGGCCGAUAUCUGAUUAGCUAGUUGGUGGGGUAAAAGCUCACCAAGGCGACGAUCAGUAGCUGGUCUGAGAGGACGACCAGCCACACUGGAACUGAGACACGGUCCAGACUCCUACGGGAGGCAGCAGUGGGGAAUUUUGGACAAUGGGCGCAAGCCUGAUCCAGCAAUGCCGCGUGAGUGAAGAAGGCCUUCGGGUUGUAAAGCUCUUUUGUCAGGGAAGAAACGGUGGACUCUAAUACAGAUCACUAAUGACGGUACCUGAAGAAUAAGCACCGGCUAACUACGUGCCAGCAGCCGCGGUAAUACGUAGGGUGCAAGCGUUAAUCGGAAUUACUGGGCGUAAAGCGUGCGCAGGCGGUUGUGCAAGACAGAUGUGAAAUCCCCGGGCUCAACCUGGGAAUUGCAUUUGUGACUGCACGGCUAGAGUGUGUCAGAGGGGGGUAGAAUUCCACGUGUAGCAGUGAAAUGCGUAGAGAUGUGGAGGAAUACCGAUGGCGAAGGCAGCCCCCUGGGAUAACACUGACGCUCAUGCACGAAAGCGUGGGGAGCAAACAGGAUUAGAUACCCUGGUAGUCCACGCCCUAAACGAUGUCUACUAGUUGUCGGGUCUUAAUUGACUUGGUAACGCAGCUAACGCGUGAAGUAGACCGCCUGGGGAGUACGGUCGCAAGAUUAAAACUCAAAGGAAUUGACGGGGACCCGCACAAGCGGUGGAUGAUGUGGAUUAAUUCGAUGCAACGCGAAAAACCUUACCUACCCUUGACAUGUCUGGAAUCCUUGAGAGAUCAGGGAGUGCUCGAAAGAGAAUCAGAACACAGGUGCUGCAUGGCUGUCGUCAGCUCGUGUCGUGAGAUGUUGGGUUAAGUCCCGCAACGAGCGCAACCCUUGUCAUUAGUUGCUACGAAAGGGCACUCUAAUGAGACUGCCGGUGACAAACCGGAGGAAGGUGGGGAUGACGUCAAGUCCUCAUGGCCCUUAUGGGUAGGGCUUCACACGUCAUACAAUGGUACAUACAGAGGGCCGCCAACCCGCGAGGGGGAGCUAAUCCCAGAAAGUGUAUCGUAGUCCGGAUUGUAGUCUGCAACUCGACUACAUGAAGUUGGAAUCGCUAGUAAUCGCGGAUCAGCAUGUCGCGGUGAAUACGUUCCCGGGUCUUGUACACACCGCCCGUCACACCAUGGGAGCGGGUUUCACCAGAAGUGGGUAGCCUAACCGCAAGGAGGGCGCUCACCACGGUGGGAUUCGUGACUGGGGUGAAGUCGUAACAAGGUA
rnacentral:rRNA from 1 species